UCUAUUAUGGCAGAAUAAUGUAAUAAAUUUAAGAUUUAUAAAUAAAAUUUAAUAAUUUUUAAUAGAA
rnacentral:tRNA from 1 species